UCCUGGUUUCAGUUUAGUUAAACAUUCACCAGGAUCGUGUCGCAGGUGUUUUUCUCUCCGUGUCAACCUCCGUCUGAAGGUAAUGAAGCAGUUUUGAAUGUUUUCUUGGUGAACAUCAGCUGUCAGCAGCUCAGCUCCAACAGAAGCAGCAGAAAUCUGCUGAACUUGACGUUAAACUGAGUCAAAGCUGAAAGGUAGAAAGUUGAUGUGGAUUCAGCAGCAUGGACCAGAGGGAGGACAAAGAGGAGGGAGACAGACAUCUGCAGGACGGGUUGACUGGUUUCAGUCAUUCAUCUGAUCCCAGCUGUGUUUCCCUCAGGAGUGAUCAGUCACAACAUCGUCACAUUGGUUUUAGAUUGCAUCAACCCUCUGCUCAUGAGAGGAUCAGUCCAGACCCCAGCUGUGUGUCUCUCAACAGUGAUCGGUCCAAUGAUCGAGCCAUUGAUUUUAAAGGACAUCAACCCUCUGCUCCUGAGAGGUAAACCAGUGUCCAGCUUCAUCCAUGAGUCAGAGGAGACUAGCUCCUUUCUACAGUUUCCACUUUAACCUGUGGAGGUUGAUUUGAGAAGCAGGCUUUGGAUCAUAGGACACUGGUUUGAAUGGUAACUGACAGGUAGAACAUGUGUGUGGGUGGAGUGAAGAGGCCAUAUCCAUGGCUGCAGUAGCUAU